rnacentral:ncRNA from 2 species
GGGGGGCAGGAGGGGCUCAGGG